UACGUAGGGUCCGAGCGUUGUCCGGAAUUAUUGGGCGUAAAGGGCUCGUAGGCGGUUUGUCGCGUCUGCCGUGAAAGUCCGGGGCUCAACUCCGGAUCUGCGGUGGGUACGGGCAGACUAGAGUGAUGUAGGGGAGACUGGAAUUCCUGGUGUAGCGGUGAAAUGCGCAGAUAUCAGGAGGAACACCGGUGGCGAAGGCGGGUCUCUGGGCCGAUACUGACGCUGAGGAGCGAAAGCGUGGGGAGCGAACAGG
rnacentral:rRNA from 1 species